UUGUUGGCUCCGAAUUUCUGGUAUAGGUUAAGAACGAAAAUGAAAUUGUGUUCAGAACACACUGUGAAUUCAAAAGUUGUGGAAAAAAAUAUUUUAAUUUGUUUUUAGAAUUGGAUCAGUAAUAACGUCAUAUAUGGGUUAUCAUAAAAGGCGGAGUUGGAUGUUCUCGUCUAUCAAAAGUACUGCACAAAUCCGACGAACAUUCCAAAGGGUGUCCGGGUACUGAAAAAGAAGGAUCGUUAGUCUGGCGGGAUUAUCUAGAAACAGGAAGUGGAAUUGUUUCUGCAAUUAUGUCCACGAACCUUUGACUUGGUCAAACUUUUUAUCAGAUAGAAACCAUAUUAAAUUGACCUUGUUAAUUUUUCUGAGGGGGUAUGACAUUUAUGUCAGGACCAACUCAGGCUCAUAUAAAAUGUCAAUACUAAAGAAGACGUAAACCAAGGAAUAGCGUCCAUGCUCCAUCCAGCGACAACCACUUCUAUAGUAGUGCAUCUGCAGAUUUUCAAGAUAAGAAAAUGUAAUAAAAGGCUUAAGUGUUGACAUGUCUUCAUGUCGUGUUUUGUAGCGAGUUCUACCGCGCGCUAGUAAUUGACAAUUAGAGGCCCCGGCCUGUGGAGUGGGAUGCACACGCACGGAUUUAUCUGUUUAAUUGGUUCCUUUAUCUGGUAAAAGCCGUUCGUAGGGCCCGGUGAUGUAGAUGACCCAGGUACUAUUGACUAGAGCUGUCCAAGAACACAAUAUAUAUAAGACAUUUGGGGAGGGGGUAUUUUUUACGGUAAUUUAGUUAAGAAAUUAACUCAUGAUUUAUUUGUGCAGCGGUAAACUAUUAUGUAAAAAUAAAUAAUUUCAUCAUUCAGUUAUUGUUCCAUACGAAUAUAUAAAAUAUAUUGUUUUAAUUCAUUAAGAAAUAAAAACCGUUUUUAGUUUC
rnacentral:sRNA from 1 species